GACAGAGGGUGCAAACGUUGUUCGGAAUUACUGGGCGUAAGGCGCGUGUAGGCGGCCCUGUAAGUCGGGUGUGAAAUCCCACGGCUCAACCGUGGAAGUGCAUUCGAAACUACAGGGCUAGAGUUCUGGAGAGGAAGGUGGAAUGCUUGGUGUAGAGGUGAAAUUCGUAGAUAUCAAGCGGAACACCGGUGGCGAAGGCGGCCUUCUGGACAGUAACUGACGCUGAGACGCGAAAGCGUGGGGAGCAAACAGG
rnacentral:rRNA from 1 species